UCUCAUGUAUUUAAAGGUUCACUGUAAAGGUUAACUUCAGAUCUCGUGUUUGAAUUUCGGAUUUCAUCUUCUUACAGUUACAAUCAAAAGGGGGACAUCAAGCACCAUCUUUGAUUAAAUGUACUGGGGAGAGAGAUGUCAAGUGUACAAGAACAAGAGUUACCAGAACCAGACCAUUACAACGAUGUUAUGAGUGGUGACGGUCAAGAUGAUGAUGAUGAUGUUGAGAUGCUAGAUUCUGUG